rnacentral:misc_RNA from 1 species
UACGAAGGGGGCUAGCGUUGUUCGGAAUUACUGGGCGUAAAGCGCACGUAGGCGGAUCAGUCAGUUAGGGGUGAAAUCCCGGGGCUCAACCCCGGAACUGCCUCUAAUACUGCUGGUCUGGAGGUCGAGAGAGGUGAGUGGAAUUCCGAGUGUAGAGGUGAAAUUCGUAGAUAUUCGGAGGAACACCAGUGGCGAAGGCGGCUCACUGGCUCGAACCUGACGCUGAGGUGCGAAAGCGUGGGGAGCAAACAGG